AUACGGAGGAUCCGAGCGUUAUCCGGAUUUAUUGGAUUUAAAGGGUGCGCAGGCGGCCAUUUAAGUCAGCGGUUAAAUCGUGGGGCUCAACCCCAUUCUGCCGUUGAUACUGGGUGGCUUGAUUGCGGUCGAGGUUGGCGGAAUUCGUUGUGUAGCGGUGAAAUGCAUAGAUAUGACGAAGAACACCGAUUGCGUAGGCAGCUGACCAGACCGCAAAUGACGCUCAUGCACGAAAGUGCGGGGAUCGAACAGGAUUAGAUACCCUGGUAGUCCGCACAGUAAACGAUGAAUACUUGUUUUCGGCGAUAUAAUGUCGGAGGCAAAGCGAAAGCGAUAAGUAUUCCACCUGGGGAGUACGCCGGCAACGGUGAAACUCAAAUGAAUUGACGGGG
rnacentral:rRNA from 1 species